GAUGAACGCUAGCGGGAGGCCUAACACAUGCAAGCCGAGCGGUAGAGAUUCUUCGGGAUCUUGAGAGCGGCGUACGGGUGCGGAACACGUGUGCAACCUACCUUUAUCUGGAGGAUAGCCUUUCGAAAGGAAGAUUAAUACUCCAUAAUAUAUUGAUUGGCAUCGAUUGAUAUUGAAAGCUCCGGCGGAUAGAGAUGGGCACGCGCAAGAUUAGCUAGUUGGUGAGGUAACGGCUCACCAAGGCGAUGAUCUUAGGGGCCUGAGAGGUGAUCCCCACACUGGUACUGAGACACGGACCAGACUCCUACGGGAGGCAGCAGUGAGGAAUAUUGGUCAAUGGGUGCAAGCCUGAACCAGCCAUCCCGCGUGAAGGACGACUGCCCUAUGGGUUGUAAACUUCUUUUGUAUAGGG
rnacentral:rRNA from 1 species